rnacentral:lncRNA from 1 species
UCUGGCCCAUAAUUUAUGAAAACCAGUAUUGUGCAAUGGGUCAAGGAAGGAAAUACUACCACAAUUAUAAACAUGGGGACUUUCUCUUUUCAUUUAUUCAGCUCCAGCUCUGCCCUCCGAAUUGGAGACUUAAGGACAACAGAGCUCUGAAGAUGAUGUGCUGCUAUGACGCCUAGGGAAACAGAGUUUUACAACAAACUAGAACUGUAGGAGUGACUCCAAUGUUCAAGGAGCUUACACUCUUGAAGAGGGUGGCAAGCACGGUAAUGAAGAAGUCUGUAUGAGCAGAGAGAC